rnacentral:sRNA from 1 species
CUCACACGCAUAAGGGGUGCGAGCGGCGGCGGCCAUGGACGACGAGGAGGAGACGUACCGGCUCUGGAAAAUCCGCAAGACCAUCAUGCAGCUGUGCCACGACCGUGGCUACCUGGUGACCCAGGACGAGCUUGACCAGACCCUGGAGGAGUUCAAAGCCCAAUUUGGGGACAAGCCGAGUGAGGGGCGGCCGCGGCGCACGGACCUCACCGUGCUGGUGGCCCACAACGAUGACCCCACCGACCAGAUGUUUGUGUUCUUUCCAGAGGAGCCCAAGGUGGGCAUCAAGACCAUCAAGGUGUACUGCCAGCGCAUGCAGGAGGAGAACAUCACGCGGGCCCUCAUCGUGGUGCAGCAGGGCAUGACACCCUCCGCCAAGCAGGUGGGCACCCCCGCCCCACCCCGCCAGCCUCUCCCCCUCCCCAGCCUCCUCCCCCGAGCAGGUGGGCACCCCUGCCCUGGCCCACCCCACCAGCCUCUCACCCUCCCCAGCCUCCUCCCGCGAGCAGUACCCACAGGCGGCCCACAUGCCUUGGGCUUUGGGCUAGGCCAGCCAGGGUGCCCUGGAGGAUGUGGCCGGGAUGUCCGACAAGCCCCGACUGCCUCCCUCCCACCGCGUCCAUGGGCCCCACCCCAGGCAGCCGCCAUCUUCCCCCAGCUCUCAGGAGGGGUGUCAGGGUGGAGGGCACUGUGCUUCUCGCCAGCUCCUGUGGGCUUCAGCCCUCGGCCUGGUGCAGAU